AUACGGAGGGGGCUAGCGUUGUUCGGAAUUACUGGGCGUAAAGCGCGCGUAGGCGGAUCGUUAAGUCAGGGGUGAAAGCCCGGAGCUCAACUCCGGAACUGCCCUUGAUACUGGCGAUCUCGAGUCCGGGAGAGGUGAGCGGAAUUCCUAGUGUAGAGGUGAAAUGCGUAGAUAUGAGGAGGAACACCAGUGGCGAAGGCGGCUCACUGGUCCGGUACUGACGCUGAGGUGCGAAAGCGUGGGGAGCAAACAGGAUUAGAAACCCCAGUAGUCC
rnacentral:rRNA from 1 species